UUUUAGCCCUGAUUGAAGUGGAAAUCCUUUUUUGAAAAAAAAGAUUGCAACGGAAAGCAGGACUAAUC
rnacentral:sRNA from 1 species